rnacentral:ncRNA from 2 species
AAAUAGCGUUAUACUUAAGGUUCCUUUAAUUUAAAGGAUCUAAAAGGGGAAGUCGGUGAAACUCCGGCGCGGUCCCGCCACUGUAAACAAGGAGUUCUCUUUGUAAAUCCAUUUUGAAACACAAGAUGGUUGAACAUGAGAAUGAUGACUUGAAGCCAGGAAACCUGCCUUAAGUAACAUCACAAA